rnacentral:sRNA from 1 species
GGUUCUUCAGUGCGGGGGAGGAUAAGAAGCUUCGACCAGGGUUCGAUUCGAGCGUAGCGAGAAAGCGUUGCCGCAGGCAACGACCCGAAGGGCGAAGCGCGAAGCGCUGAGUAAUCCUUCCCCCACCACCA